CGACGUAGCUCAGUUGGUAGAGCAUCUCAUUCGUAAUGAGGGGGUCACCGGUUCGAAUCCGGUCGUCG
rnacentral:tRNA from 1 species